CUGUUAUUCCACCAAGGUACUGCAAUAUGUUUGUGCCUCUUUGAAGUAUUUGCACCGCUAUUUGAUAAGUUCCUACGUGGAACGGAACGUUCCACAGCUGUCAAAAUAAUUUUACAGAACCUAUUGUAAUUGUUUAAGGGUUCAUUGACAUCAUACUCGAAAUCCAAAAGUAAUCGAUUAACAGUUUCAGAAUAAAGAUCCCAAUUAACGAGACGUAGGUUUAUACGAUUUAACAAAAGUUUAUUAACUUCAUCUAUAGGAGCAUGUUGUUCACCUGACGGAGUUGAUGAAGAGUUCUUUGUGUUUAUUUUAGUAAAAGUCGGCAGGUGAUAACUUCCUAACGGAUCAUCAUGAACCGACCACUCGCAUUUUAAUGAUAUGGAUGGGGAUACCAUAGUUAAAUCAAGGCCAUUGGGUCUCCAAAUAUGAGAGCCAACAGUAGUAACUUGCUUAUCAUUUAAUAGUACCAAAUUACAUUCAUCUAAACAAUCAAGAAUGUCUUUACCUCUUGUAUUAGUGGAGGUACAACCCCACAUAGUAUGAUGUGCAUUUAAAUCUCCAGAUAUGAUAGUGGGUUUAGGAAGAGACUCCAAAAAGAACUUAAAUUUGGCUUUAGUAAAACUAGGUGUACUAUUGGUAGGACAGUAAAUACUGGCAACUGAAUACCAAGAAUUAUUAACUUCAAUACUAAUAGCUAUAGUUUGCAAAGAAUUGUCGAAAAAAGAGUGAAGUUUUUUAUAUCUAAUACUAUUAUGUAUAAUAAUCGCUACUCCAUUGUGGUUAUUACCACAAUCAUUUCGUUCUAUACAAUAAUCUUUAAUUUUUAAUUUGUAAUGUGGUUUUAGCCAAGUUUCUGAGAUGAGAGCAAUGUGAAUAUGAUGUUCGUUUAAAAAUUGUGUAAAAAUAUGUCGAUUGCUCAGUAGGCUCUGAGCGUUCCACUGUAUGAUAGUUAAUUGGUCUCGAUUGAAUUUUGUGAAAUAGGUCUAUUACCAAAAGUAUCAUAUAACACAUUCAAAACACUUUUAGUGUUAAUAGAUGUGUUCUUUGUGUUAUGUAGUGAAAUAAGUUUGAUUAUGCUUUCUAUUAAAAGUGAUAAACUCUUGUUAUCAGAAUUUAGAAUUGAAAUUAGGUCUACAUUUUUUUUAGGUUUGUUACCCAGUUUAGGAAAUAUUUCAGUGCUAAGUAUAUCUCCAAAAGAAGCAGGUCUGAAUUUAGAUCUAUUUUCAGCAAUUUUCUUUUGUUUAACAGGGCAUUGCGGUGAUACACUUGUGUGAUUUCCAUUGCAGUGUACACAAAUAGCGUUUUCCAUUCCAGUUGUACAAGUUUUAUAAUUAUGCUCACCUUUGCAGAUGCUGCAGCGCUCAGAAUUCUUACAGAAUUUAGCUAAAUGUCCAUACCUCAAGCACCGGUAGCAUUGUUUAACUGGUGGUAUAUAUGGAGUGACAUUGUGGCGCCAACCUCCAAUAUCCAGAUAUUCAGGAGGAGAGUGAGAGCAAGUCUCUGGAUCCAAUGGUUUUCUGACUAUCUGAGGAUUCUACAAAGACAACAAAUUCUGUCCCAGGGGAUUCCUCGGGAUAUCUUCUAAUAUAAUCUGUGACGUAGUAAGGUUUAUACUUAUCGGCCUUAUCAAUUUCAGAUUCUGAGUCAGUAGAAGUAUCUUCCGAAUAUAUAUCCUUGUCAUUACAAGGUUCAUGGUCUACAUCACCUGAAUCGUCAUCUUUUUUUUCCUUUUUCUACAACUGCGCUUCCCCAUGAAUGCUAAUUAUAUUACUGUCGCUGAAUUUAGUGAAAAUAUAAUAUUUUAUUCAAUAAUAAGAAUUGAUAGAGAUAGUUUUAAUAAAUUAAUAAAAAAAUUUAAAAAACCCGCUUGUUCUUCCUUUUGACUUGUGUUUGUUGGAUAUUAACAACGACAUUUAUAACUGAUAGAAUGACAGCAACAUCUUACUGUCAGUCUUACAUUAAAGGUUUUUACACAAACGGUAUUUUACACUAUAGACAUUAUUCUUAAUCUAAGGUCUUUCCACUACACCUCAAUAGAGAAGUUAUCAUAGUAUUCCGUAAUAAUCUAAGGAAGUUACAGUGUAUCUCAGUAAUAGAUUUAAUAAAUCGUUUAUAUAAAAUUUAAACAAACGAUUGAUCCAACCAUAAGACGGAUCAUCCUCUCUUACUACGCAUAGUAUAACCGAGUCUUAUUCCUAGCUAUUGAUCCCGAAAAUAACAUUGCCGCUUUAAAAUAGAGAACAUAGAUGUCAGUAACAGAGCUGGAACUGCUGCAAUGGCAAUUUUCAUUUGAAAUAAAAUAAGAUGAUAUUAAAUUUAAUUUGUUAGCUUUUUCUUAUAAAUGGAAAGGUUCUUGUCUAAAACAUGAUAUAACCAUUGACAAAACAUUAUAUAUGUACAACAAACUACAACGCUUUUUUCAUUUGAGACUGGCCUCUAAUAUGAUCAAGUAAUUUGAGACAAGUACGCACAUUUU